UUGCCCUCCUAUGAAUAGCAACCCCAAGCACAAACUCCCUGAGUUCUCCAGGGACCACAUCAGGCUGAACCCCAACCAUUUCCCCCAGCUUUUCAGGGCUGGCUCCUCGAGGAACGAGCUUGACCACAGACAAACGCUGAUGAGACAGAAGGGGAUGUCACUGGGAUGUGCUGGCAGGCGGCUGUCACGCUGAGGAGCUCCGUCCCCCGCAAGCCCCCGGGAUGCCUGGCACUGCUCCUCGUGUUCCCAUGUGUCAGAGCAUUGGGAUUUGAUGUGGCACCCUAAUAGCCCAGCAGGAUUUGUUAAAGUGCCAGAAGUUGGUGUGAUUUACUAGCAGAGCCAACAAAAUUGCUACGCAUGAGCUCUGCAGAGACUGAAAGGGAGAGAGGAGCCUUGGAAAGGUCAUCCACCAAAGUGGUCUGCGACAUCAAAAAAUUGAAAAUUAGUGUGUAGCUGCAGCUAAUGGACCUUAAUACAUCUUGAAUUGUCCUACUGGGAGCAGGAAACACUUCCAGAGGAUGGAUGAGGUCUUUAGGAUUCCUUGCUACAGAACUUCAAUUCCAAAGCCAAGAAAUGAAUGUUAACUUUGCAAAUGUGAGCUAUGGAGAACAACAACCAGCCAGGAGCUUGCACCAAGCCGACCAAUGAUGCCAGGAACAACCACGAGCAGCUCCUGAGCUUGCUGAAAUCCUGGGGGCAGAGCAGGGAAGUUUCUGCUGCUGCUGCAAUCAGAGGUUAUUAAUGCUGGGUGCCAGAGGUAAAAGUGGUCAUGCUGGUAGGCUCAAGAUAGAAAAACACAGAAGAGAACUCUUCUUUACUCUUUUUAUAGUCUUUUUUUCUACUGCAAUGGAAAAAAACUCAACAGCACAAAUUGAUAUUCUGAUUAAACUGGAGGACACCUGCCUCUGCAGGAAAGGCUUGGUGAGAAUAACAUAGACUGUGCCGAUGGAGCCUGGAGGAGCAGCAGAGAAUGCAGAGAGGAGACUUCUGAGCGCUUUUGCUGUUUUCCGUAGGGAUGCCCUCAGAAAUGGCCUUUAUUUUCUCUAAAUGGCGGGAUGAUUUUCCUGCCUGUGAAGAUUGAGGACCAGAAGUGCUGUGUACUGAAGUCUCGUACUUAUCCGCGGGCCAGACAUCAUAGCAGUCUGUCGCAUCGCUCUGCUGAGCCUGGACUCGGAGCUAAAGGGAGCAACCUGAACAGCCCAUGAUGGAUUGACUUCUAUUAGAUUCUUCAGGCAUCACCAUCAGUGUGAACUCCAUUUAAGUAACACCGUCAGAGACUUAAUUUAUUAUAUAAUUGAUAAGAAAUAUCACCUAGGAAGCCUAGACAAUGAAAGCGACUUCUACAGGAAAUAUUUUGCUAAGAGACAGCGACAUGGGAAUGCACCGGAGGCAGAAAAUUGAGUUAUGAAAUAAAUAGGCAUGAAAGCCAAAUGGAGACCUGAACAAGAAAUGAGUCUGAGGACAAGGCACCAAUGCUGGUCACAAAUGUCACCGUGCCAAAACAGCAUCGCACUGAAGUUUGCAGGAUGAUGAAGAGCUGGAACUUGUUACCUUGAUGAUUCUCCAAAUCACCCUUAUAUUGGGGAAUAAAUUCAGGUGCAAUUAGGAGGAGAAGACAAAAACCUCAUGAGAAGAAUUUGUGUAAGCCCUGGAGACCCCACGUGAGCCCUUUGGGUGUGACUGGGUGUCAGAGAUCCCUGCUGCCAGAGCUCCUGGCAGUCACUGCUAGAAACUGGCCAUCGUGUGUUUCUGGUAGAAACAUCUAUUUGUUACAGAGAAUAUUUACACGCCCCUCUCCUGGCCAGCCAUAUGUGGACAUUUACAUUCUUUGUGUUCCUGUAUGCUGUGGGCUUUGCUUCAUGGAAGUUAAAUGCCAAACGACCCUGCUGGCGUUGCUCUAAGUGCCUCAGAGUGUUACCAAGUACUGCUGCUGGGCUUUCAUCGAGUAUUUUGUCUGCACUUACUCUGCUGUCUUGGUGAGGCUUCUUGGAGCAGAACAAGUGUAUAUGGGAACAUGUGGAACAGUGAUUUACAUUAAUUACUCCCUAAGUGACUGGUUUCCCUAGGAAGCUCUCCCGCUGUGAGAUGUACAUAGAUGCACAUGACACUCAUAGCAAUGCUGCCGUGCUCUUUGAAGAUUUCAUGCUUCCUGUGCCACAGUCAGAUUUGUCACGUUGGAGGGUAUCAGCAUCUCAGAAGCUGCUACGCUGGAAAGACAAACAACAUAUGCUAGAAACGCAAACACGUGUUGUUACAUUUAUUACGAGAACUGCUGAUGAAAAUUAAAUACAGAAUGGUCCUUUACACAUUGUGAAUGUGACCAUAUUUAUGCACAGUAAGAGAAAGUGUGAUAUCACCACUUUGUUGAUUAGUACAGAGGAGAGAGAAGUUAGUAAACAACAAAAAACUUGUCAUUUUCCAGGGUCAGACUAAAACUCAAUAUUUUAUUUUGGUUUUGAAGGGAGAAAGAAAAAAAAAUAAUGUAAUCUAAGUAAAGAAAUUAAAAGCUUAAAUGGUAAAAACACCAUGGUUGUAUUGCGAGCAUUGCAUGUAUGCACCAGUAUAGAUAUUUAGAGAUGCAUGGUCCUGUGAAAUACAGAUGUGAAAUAAUUGAUCCUAUGCCUUUCUAAGUGUUAAAAAUGCAAAACUCUCCAGGAGGACUUGUUAUAGCAUAAAAACGAUCUCCUCCCAGGACCAGUUCAGGUGGGUGGCAGCCCCCGUGCUCAGCAUUGUGUGCCAUGCUCUCACCACAAAGGCUCCUGCUUUGAUACAUGUGUGGAGGCUAUUGCUUACACCCAGUUAGUAUUUGUCCUGGAUUUUCUCUGGUUCUUUGCUUUGAUGGUGGUUUUGAACACUUGCUGCAUGUUCCAUGCACAGGGACGAUGUGCAGGCAGUGCCCAGCCAGGGCACCGCGGGAGAUGGCACCGUGACACUAGUGGCUGGUGUCCCUGACCAUGGCAGGGAGCUGUCUUUAUGGUCCUUUCCAACCCAAACCAUUCUGUGAUUCUGCGAGUGGGAACCAGGAGGCACUUGCUGGGAACAAACACAUCUCGGGUGAAAGUCAUUUCCUCCCUCAGAAAAGCUAGUGGCACUGAGGUGAGGAGAGCGAGGGCUGUGGUCGCGCAUUUGACUUUGCAGUUUAUUAGAAAAGAGCCUCUGAGGGACGGAGGCCUUUCACACAUCACCUCCCAGCUCGCCGUUUCCCCUGGCAGGUGGAUAUUACUGUUUUCUUUGGUGAUGAACAAACUAGAAAACUCUUCAGCUUCCUCUUAAGGCACAAGCGUAUCAUUCUGUUGUUUGUUUGUGUGUUAACAGUUCAGAAUGAAAUAGUUAUCUGAAUUGCCUUAAUCUCUGUCUGUCAUUCUCAACAUUUGUUGUACGCCCCAUCCACUAAUGGGUUUGCAUAAUUCCUAUGGUUACUUUUGUUCCUGUUACAUUUAACCCCUACAUCCCUUUCUCUUUAUUAUGCUUGUACCUCCUUCAAAGAGGUGUCUUCCCUUGCUGCCACCGGGCUCACCACCCAGCUCGCCAUGCUUUGCAGGCUGCUCGAGAGUGAGCGAGGGAUCCCUCCGUACCCACAGCCCAUGAGUACCAGAGCUCACUGCUGUCGCUGCUCUAUAUCCAUCCAAGACUCUGAAUUAUGCUUGUUAGAGGCUUUUUCUUUCAUUUUCUUUGAUAUGUACAUAAAUAUAGUCAUAGGUACAUUCUAAUGCACUUAUUGGGUGGUAGCAAAUGCUAUAUUUACUCCUUAAGGACACUUUUAUUUUUUUAAUGCAUUUGUUUUUUAAGAUAAAGACAAUAUAGUCCAAAGGGAAAAUAGAAAAACAAAAUAACACCAACCAUCCAACCCAAGAUAUUCAGUAUCACUGUGAAAUUUCAAAGGCCUAGGUGGGGAAAAAUGCCAGACAUAUUACUGUGAUCCUGGUAUAUUCACCUCCUGAAGCUUAGGAGUUCAAAGCUAUAGAACGAGGGAGGUCUGUAAGGUAGAUUUUUAGAAGGUUUCUCUAUUACUGUUAGCUGUGCUGUUUGACAAAUCCAUCUGCAUAUGGAUAACCCUCCUGGCCGCAUAUGGCAAGUCAAAAAAAGAAAGUGAAUAAGAA